AUGUUAAAGAAUUUUUGGGUACCUUUAGAAUCCAACCCAGAUUCGUUGUAUUUAUAUUCUACUAAACUUGGACAAUGUAAAUUAAAGUUUGAGGAUAUUUUGGGUUUUGAUAAAGACCUAUUAGAUAUGAUACCUAAACCAGCGCAUGCAAUACUACUAUUAUACCCAUUAAAUGAAAAUUUUAAUAAUGAAAACAAUUCAAGUGAAAAAAUAGUAAAUAAAGGUAUUAGUGACGCUUUUUUUUAUAAAGCAAACUAUUCCAAACUGUUGUGGUACAAUUGCUUUGAUACAUUUGUUCGGAAAUUUGAGAGAUAAAUUUGAAAUUAGCAAGGGUUCUAUUUUAGCUAAUUUUUUUGAUAAAGUUGAGAAAAUGACUCCUGAAGAAAGAGGAAAGGUUUCGUUUUACAUAUCACACAUUGUGUUAAAGAAAAAAAGGAACGAACUAUGUGAAUAUUUAUUUUUUUCUAUUUUUAUUUUUAUUUUAUUAUUAUUAUUAUUAUUAUUAUUAUUAUUAUUAUUGUUAUUAUUAUUUUUUUUUUUUUUUUUUAAACAUUUAUUCAAAUUGUUGGUUCUUACUUUUGUUACUUCCUUUUUUCUAGGAACUCGAAAAUAAUAAGAGCAUUGAAUUGUUACAUCAUGAAUGUUCUGGUGGCCAAGCAUCUGUAGGAGAUGAUAUAAAUGUUAACACACAUUAUAUUAUUUUAAUGGAACAUAAUGGAGAAAUUAUCGAAUUGGAUGGAAGGAAAAAACGAACCAAUUAGUCAUGGUCAAAGGACUUCCAGUGAAUUCAUAUACGUAAUAAAUAUAUAUGUCAUACGUCUCA
rnacentral:lncRNA from 1 species